rnacentral:rRNA from 1 species
ACGUUAGCGGCGGACGGGUGAGUAACACGUGGGUAACCUACCUAUAAGACUGGGAUAACUUCGGGAAACCGGAGCUAAUACCGGAUAAUAUUUCUAACCGCAUGGUUCGAUAGUGAAAGAUGGUUUUGCUAUCACUUAUAGAUGGACCCGCGCCGUAUUAGCUAGUUGGUAAGGUAACGGCUUACCAAGGCGACGAUACGUAGCCGACCUGAGAGGGUGAUCGGCCACACUGGAACUGAGACACGGUCCAGACUCCUACGGGAGGCAGCAGCA